AGCAUAUCAAUAAGCGGAGGAAAAGAAACCAACAGGGAUUGCCCUAGUAACGGCGAGUGAAGCGGCAACAGCUCAAAUUUGAAAUCUGGCUCCUUUGGGGUCCGAGUUGUAAUUUGUAGAGGGUGCUUUGGCGUUGGCUCCGGCCUAAGUUCCUUGGAACAGGACGUCACAGAGGGUGAGAAUCCCGUACGUGGCCGACCGUCUUCGCCGUGUAAAGCCCCUUCGACGAGUCGAGUUGUUUGGGAAUGCAGCUCUAAAUGGGAGGUAAAUUUCUUCUAAAGCUAAAUAUUGGCCAGAGACCGAUAGCGCACAAGUAGAGUGAUCGAAAGAUGAAAAGCACUUUGGAAAGAGAGUCAAAAAGCACGUGAAAUUGUUGAAAGGGAAGCGCUUGCAGCCAGACUUGCCUGUAGUUGCUCAUCCGGGCUCCUGCCCGGUGCACUCUUCUAUUGGCAGGCCAGCAUCAGUUUGGGCGGUCGGAUAAAGGCCUCGGGAACGUAGCUCUCUUCGGGGAGUGUUAUAGCCCGGGGUGUCAUGCGACCAGCCUGGACUGAGGUCCGCGCAUCUGCUAGGAUGCUGGCGUAAUGGCUGUAAGCGGCCCGUCUUGAAACACGGACCAAGGAGUCUAACAUCUAUGCGAGUGUUUGGGUGUCAAGCCCGGGCGCGUAAUGAAAGUGAACGGAGGUGGGAACCCCCCGGGGUGCACCAUCGACCGAUCCUGAUGUCUUCGGAUGGAUUUGAGUAAGAGCAUAGCUGUUGGGACCCGAAAGAUGGUGAACUAUGCCUGAAUAGGGUGAAGCCAGAGGAAACUCUGGUGGAGGCUCGCAGCGGUUCUGACGUGCAAAUCGAUCGUCAAAUUUGGGCAUAGGGGCGAAAGACUAAUCGAACUAUCUAGUAGCUGGUUCCUGCCGAA
rnacentral:rRNA from 1 species